rnacentral:rRNA from 1 species
AGUUUGAUCCUGGCUCAGGAUCGAACGCUAGCGGCAGGCUUAAUACAUGCAAGUCGAACGGUAACAUGAGAGCUUGCUCCUGUGGACGAGUGGCGAAAGGGUGAGUAACGCGUGAGCAACCUGCCCUCAAGUUGGGAAUAACUCCUGGAAACGGGGGCUAAAACCGAAUAUGAAUAUUUUCUCGCAUGGGAUUAUAUUUAAAAAUUUAUUGCUUGAGGAUGGGCUCGCGUACCAUUAGCUAGUUGGUGUGGUAACGGCAUACCAAGGCUACGAUGGUUAGGUGGAUUGAGAGAUCGGUCACCCACACUGGGACUGAGACACUGCCCAGACUCCUACGGGAGGCUGCAGUCGAGAAUCUUCCGCAAUGCGCGAAAGCGUGACGGAGCAAUGCCGCGUGAAGGAUGAAGGCCUUAGGGUUGUAAAGACCUGUCACGAUGGGACGAAUAUUUGACGGUACCGAUGAGAGGAAGCAGCCACGGCUAACUACGUGCCAGCAGCCGCGGUAAUACGUAGGUGGCGAGCGUUGUUCGGAUUUAUUGGGCGUAAAGGGUCCGCAGGGGGUUUAUCAAGUCUGAUGUGAAAUCCCAAGGCUCAACCUUGGAACUGCAUUGGAAACUAGUAAACUAGAGUAUCGGAGAGGUAAAUGGAAUUCCUGGUGUAGCGGUGGAAUGCGUAGAUAUCAGGAAGAACACCGAGAGCGAAGGCAAUUUACUGGACGAUCACUGACCCUCAGGGACGAAAGCGUAGGUAGCGAACAGGAUUAGAUACCCUGGUAGUCUACGCCGUAAACGUUGUGAACUUGUUGUGGGGGGAUUUAGCCCCUUCCGUGACGCAGCUAACGCUUUAAGUGCACCGCCUGGGGAGUACGGCGGCAACGCUAAAACUCAAAGGAAUUGACGGGGGCCCGCACAAGCGGUGGAGCAUGAGGCUUAAAUCGAGGCAACGCGAAGAACCUUACCUGGGUUUGACAUAUAUCUGACCGCCAUGGAAACGGGGUUUCUCUUCGGAGCAGAUAUACAGGUGCUGCAUGGCUGUCGUCAGCUCGUGCCGUGAGGUGUUCGGUUAAGUCCGGCAACGAGCGCAACCCGCGUCGUUAGUUACUAACAGGUUAUGCUGAGGACUCUAGCGAGACUGCCCGUGUUAAGCGGGAGGAAGGCGCGGAUGACGUCAAGUCAGUAUGGCCCUUAUGCCCAGGGCUGCACACGUGCUACAAUGGCCGGUACAAUGGGAAGCAAUACCGCGAGGUGGAGCAAAUCCUCAAAACCGGCCCCAGUUCGGAUUGGAGUCUGCAACUCGACUCCAUGAAGUUGGAAUCGCUAGUAAAGGGGUAUCAGCUACGACCCCUUGAAUACGUUCCCGGGCCUUGUACACACCGCCCGUCACAUCACGGGAGCUGUCCGCACCCGAAGUCGUUGACCCAACUGCUCACGAGGAAGGAGACGCCUAAGGUGUGGUCGGUAACUGGGAUGAAGUCGUAACAAGGUACC